rnacentral:rRNA from 1 species
GAACGCGAAGAACCUUACCAGGUCUUGACAUCCCUUGACCGCUCUAGAGAUAGAGUUUUCCCUUCGGGGACAGAGUGACAGGUGGUGCAUGGUUGUCGUCAGCUCGUGUCGUGAGAUGUUGGGUUAAGUCCCGCAACGAGCGCAACCCUUAUUACUAGUUGCCAGCAUUGAGUUGGGCACUCUAGUGAGACUGCCGGUGACAAACCGGAGGAAGGUGGGGAUGACGUCAAAUCAUCAUGCCCCUUAUGACUUGGGCUACACACGUGCUACAAUGGAUGGUACAACGAGCAGCGAACUCGCGAGGGUAAGCGAAUCUCUUAAAGCCAUUCUCAGUUCGGAUUGUAGGCUGCAACUCGCCUACAUGAAGCCGGAAUCGCUAGUAAUCGCGGAUCAGCACGCCGCGGUGAAUACGUUCCCGGGUCUUGUACACACC